rnacentral:rRNA from 1 species
UACGUAGGGGGCAAGCGUUGUUCGGAAUUACUGGGCGUAAAGCGCGCGUAGGCGGUCUGAAAAGUCAGAUGUGAAAGCCCCGGGCUCAACUUGGGAACUGCAUUUGAUACUGUCAGACUAGAGUACAGAAGAGGUGACUGGAAUUCCCAGUGUAGCGGUGAAAUGCGUAGAUAUUGGGAGGAACACCAGAUGCGAAGGCGGGUCACUGGGCUGAUACUGACGCUGAAGUGCGGAAAAGCCCAGGGGAGCGAACGGG